AAUCCGUAGACGUUAAAAGUCGUGAGGGUUCAAGUCCCCCUAUCCCA
rnacentral:tRNA from 1 species